rnacentral:miRNA from 1 species
UCAAUCCAGAGCAGAAUUUUCU